rnacentral:rRNA from 1 species
GAUGAACGCUAGCGGCAGGCCUAACACAUGCAAGUCGAGGGGUAACAGAGAAGCUUGCUUCUGCUGACGACCGGCGCACGGGUGCGUAACGCGUAUGCAACCUACCUCAUACAGGAGAAUAGCCCUUGGAAACGAGGAUUAAUACUCCAUGGUAUCAUUUUUUCGCAUGUUAGAAUGAUUAAAGAAUUUCGGUAUGAGAUGGGCAUGCGUCCCAUUAGCUAGUUGGUGAGGUAACGGCUCACCAAGGCGACGAUGGGUAGGGGGCCUGAGAGGGUGGUCCCCCACACUGGUACUGAGACACGGACCAGACUCCUACGGGAGGCAGCAGUGAGGAAUAUUGGUCAAUGGAGGAAACUCUGAACCAGCCAUGCCGCGUGAAGGAUGACGGCCCUAUGGGUUGUAAACUUCUUUUAUAUGGGAAGAAACUUAUCUACGUGUAGAUAACUGACGGUACCAUACGAAUAAGGAUCGGCUAACUCCGUGCCAGCAGCCGCGGUAAUACGGAGGAUCCAAGCGUUAUCCGGAUUCAUUGGGUUUAAAGGGUCCGUAGGCGGAUUUUUAAGUCAGUGGUGAAAGCCGACAGCUCAACUGUCGAACUGCCAUUGAUACUGGAAAUCUUGAGUACAAAUGAAGUAGGCGGAAUGAGUCAUGUAGCGGUGAAAUGCAUAGAUAUGACUCAGAACACCGAUUGCGAAGGCAGCUUACUAACAUGUAACUGACGCUGAGGGACGAAAGCGUGGGGAGCGAACAGGAUUAGAUACCCUGGUAGUCCACGCCGUAAACGAUCAUCACUCGCUGUUGGCGAUAUACUGUCAGCGGCCAAGCGAAAGUAUUAAGUGAUGCACCUGGGGAGUACGCCGGCAACGGUGAAACUCAAAGGAAUUGACGG